UUAGCGAUAAAGAACCAUCUUAUGCAAUAAAGAAGAAGUUGUUUCCUAACCAACUCAUACUGCAGAUAGAUGGUGCUUCACAGAACUGAAUUUCCACUUGAUUGUAAUUUCCUUUUAAUUCAAAAAUUCAAAAUUCACCUUAUUUGAAUGCGAGAAGUUAUGAGUCUUAAAUGUAGGCGUAGUUGGGUUUUAUUGUACAUUCAGUUAUGGUUUUGCCCUGUCCCAUGAGAAAAGUUUAUUGGUGGAUUUGGAUUCAAUACUCAACAGAACCUAAGUCUCUUCUAUUGAAAAAUAAAUAUAGAAUCAAGAUCAGGGUCAGCAGCA
rnacentral:misc_RNA from 1 species